GACGAACGCUGGCGGCGUGCUUAACACAUGCAAGUCGAACGGUAAGGCCCUUCGGGGUACACGAGUGGCGAACGGGUGAGUAACACGUGGGUGAUCUGCCCUGCACUUCGGGAUAAGCCUGGGAAACUGGGUCUAAUACCGGAUAGGACCACUGCCUGCAUGGGAGGUGGUGGAAAGCUUUUGCGGUGGGGGAUGGGCCCGCGGCCUAUCAGCUGGUUGGUGGGGUGAUGGCCUACCAAGGCGACGACGGGUAGCCGGCCUGAGAGGGUGACCGGCCACACUGGGACUGAGAUACGGCCCAGACUCCUACGGGAGGCAGCAGUGGGGAAUAUUGCACAAUGGGCGCAAGCCUGAUGCAGCGACGCCGCGUGAGGGAUGACGGCCUUCGGGUUGUAAACCUCUUUCAGCACCGACGAAGCGCAAGUGACGGUAGGUGCAGAAGAAGGACCGGCCAACUACGUGCCAGCCGCCGCGGUAA
rnacentral:rRNA from 1 species